GACGAACGCUGGCGGCGUGCUUAACACAUGCAAGUCGAACGGAAAGGCCCUGCUUUUGUGGGGUGCUCGAGUGGCGAACGGGUGAGUAACACGUGAGUAACCUGCCCUUGACUUUGGGAUAACUUCAGGAAACUGGGGCUAAUACCGGAUAGGAGCUCCUGCUGCAUGGUGGGGGUUGGAAAGUUUCGGCGGUUGGGGAUGGACUCGCGGCUUAUCAGCUUGUUGGUGGGGUAGUGGCUUACCAAGGCUUUGACGGGUAGCCGGCCUGAGAGGGUGACCGGCCACAUUGGGACUGAGAUACGGCCCAGAAUCCUACGGGAGGCAGCAGUGGGGAAUAUUGCACAAUGGGCGGAAGCCUGAUGCAGCAACGCCGCGUGCGGGAUGACGGCCUUCGGGUUGUAAACCGCUUUCGCCUGUGACGAAGCGUGAUUGACGGUAAUGGGUAAAGAAGCACCGGCUAACUACGUG
rnacentral:rRNA from 1 species